rnacentral:rRNA from 1 species
CCUACGGGAGGCAGCAGUGGGGGAUAUUGCACAAUGGGGGGAACCCUGAUGCAGCGACGCCGCGUGGGUGAAGGAGCGUUUCGGCGCGUAAAGCCCUAUCGGCAGGGAAGUAGAUGACGGUACCUGGCCCAGAAGCCCCGGCUAACUACGUGCCAGCAGCCGCGGUAAUACGGAGGGGGCAAGCGUUAUCCGGAUUUACUGGGUGUAAAGGGGGCGCAGUCGGCAGUGCAAGCCAGGAGUGAAAGCCCGGGGGCCAACCCCGGGACUGCUCUUGAAACUGCAUGGCUGGAGUACAGGAGGGGCAGGCGGAAUGCCUGGUGUAGCGGUGAAAUGCGUAGAUAUUAGGAGGAACACCGAUGGCGAAGGCGGCCUGCUGGACUGUGACUGACGUUGAGGCCCGAAGGCGUGGGGAGCAAACAGGAUUAGAUACCCUUGUAGUC